GAUGAACGCUGGCGGCGUGCCUAAUACAUGCAAGUCGAGCGAACGGACGAGGAGCUUGCUUCUCUGACGUUAGCGGCGGACGGGUGAGUAACACGUGGAUAACCUACCUAUAAGACUGGGAUAACUUCGGGAAACCGGAGCUAAUACCGGAUAACAUGUUGAACCGCAUGGUUCAACAGUGAAAAACGGUCUUGCUGUCACUUAUAGAUGGAUCCGCGCUGCAUUAGCUAGUUGGUAAGGUAACGGCUUACCAAGGCAACGAUGCGUAGACGACCUGAGAGAGUGACCGGCCACACUGGAACUGAGACACGGUCCAGACUCCUACGGGAGGCAGCAGUAGGGAAUCUUCCGCAAAAGGCGAAAGCCUGACGGAGCAACGCCGCGUGAGUGAAGAAGGUCUUCGGAUCGUAAAACUCUGUUAUUAGGGAAGAACAAAUGUGUAAGUAACUGUGCACGUCUUGACGGUACCUAAUCAGAAAGCCACGGCUAACUACGUG
rnacentral:rRNA from 1 species